UUUGCUAGGGGUGCUACGACAGGGGUUUUACGACACUGGCGGGGCUGAGAUAUACCCUUUAUAACCUGAUCCGGGUAAUACCGGCGUAGGGAAGCUG
rnacentral:ncRNA from 1 species